rnacentral:tRNA from 1 species
GUGUUGGUGGUUCAGUGGUAGAAUUUUUGCUUUCCAGGCAGGAGACCCAGGUUGGAUUCCUGGCCAAUGUA